rnacentral:lncRNA from 1 species
AUAAAAUAAUGGAAAAAGCAUGGCAAAAAUUGAGAGAGAGGAUGAGAACUCAAAAGGACAGAGAGAGAAAGACGGAACUCUCUUGAGAGACUGCCUCUGCUGCUGGAGCAGAUGUGGAAGGAACCAUGGAAGAAAUGGCAUGAAAGCAAAGUGACAUUUGCCCUAGAUAUCCUUCCUCAAGGGAUUAUUUCUCAGUAGCUUUUGGUAGUAUGUGGCCCUGUGGG